rnacentral:rRNA from 1 species
UACGGAGGGAGCUAGCGUUGUUCGGAAUUACUGGGCGUAAAGCGCACGUAGGCGGCUUUGUAAGUUAGAGGUGAAAGCCCGGGGCUCAACUCCGGAACUGCCUUUAAGACUGCAUCGCUUGAAUCCGGGAGAGGUGAGUGGAAUUCCGAGUGUAGAGGUGAAAUUCGUAGAUAUCGAGAGGAACACCUGCGGCGAAGGCGGGUUGCUGGGCUGACACUGACGCUGAUGCGCGAAAGCCAGGGGAGCGAACGGG